AACGAACGCUGGCGGCAUGCCUAAUACAUGCAAGUCGAACGAUCACUUCGGUGGUAGUGGCGCACGGGUGCGUAACGCGUGGGAAUCUGCCCUUGGGUUCGGAAUAACGUCGGGAAACUGACGCUAAUACCGGAUGAUGACGUAAGUCCAAAGAUUUAUCGCCCAGGGAUGAGCCCGCGUAGGAUUAGCUAGUUGGUGGGGUAAAGGCCUACCAAGGCGACGAUCCUUAGCUGGUCUGCGAGGAUGAUCAGCCACACUGGGACUGAGACACGGCCCAGACUCCUACGGGAGGCAGCAGUAGGGAAUAUUGGACAAUGGGGGCAACCCUGAUCCAGCAAUGCCGCGUGAGUGAUGAAGGCCUUAGGGUUGUAAAGCUCUUUUACCCGGGAUGAUAAUGACAGUACCGGGAGAAUAAGCCCCGGCUAACUCCGUGCCAGCAGCCGCCGUAA
rnacentral:rRNA from 1 species